UACGGAGGGAGCUAGCGUUGUUCGGAAUUACUGGGCGUAAAGCGCACGUAGGCGGCUUUUUAAGUCAGGGGUGAAAUCCCGGGGCCCAACCCCGGAACUGCCCUUGAAACUGGAGAGCUAGAAUCUUGGAGAGGCGAGUGGAAUUCCGAGUGUAGAGGUGAAAUUCGUAGAUAUUCGGAAGAACACCAGUGGCGAAGGCGACUCGCUGGACAAGUAUUGACGCUGAGGUGCGAAAGCGUGGGGAGCAAACAGG
rnacentral:rRNA from 1 species